rnacentral:rRNA from 1 species
UACGUAGGGGGCGAGCGUUGUCCGGAGUUACUGGGCGUAAAGGGCAUGCAGGCGGUCGGACGCGUUUUGUGUGACAGCGGGUGGCUCAACUACCUGAGCAUGCGAAAGACGGUCGGACUUGAGGACUCGAGAGGGACACGGAAUUCCGGGUGGAGUGGUGAAAUGCGUAGAGAUCCGGAGGAACACCGAAGGCGAAGGCAGUGUCCUGGCGAGUGACUGACGCUGAGGUGCGAAAGCCAGGGGAGCGAACGGG